rnacentral:rRNA from 1 species
AUUGAACGCUGGCGGCAGGCCUAACACAUGCAAGUCGAGCGGAGCGGCGGAAGGGGGAGUAAUGCCUAGGAAUCUGCCUGGUAGUGGGGGAUACAGUCCGGAAACGGGCGCUAAUACCGCAUACUUUCAGAUGAGCCUAGGUCGGAUUAGAUAGUUGGUGGGGUAUAGGCCUACCAAGGCGACGAUCCGUCACUGGUCUGAGAGGAUGACCAGCCACACUGUAACUUAGACACGGGCCAGACUCCUACGGGAGGCAGCAGUGGGGAAUAUUGCACAAUGGGCGCAAGCCUGAUGCAGCCAUGCCGCGUGUGUGAAGAAGGCCUUCGGGUUGUAAAGCACUGUCAGCGGGGAGGCGUUACCCGAAGAAGAAGCACCGGCUAACUCCGUGCCAGCCGCCGCGGUAAUAC